CCCAUUUCCAAUGUCUCGCACACCACCAGCGGGUCCAGGGUGAGUCAAGCAGCCUCCAUUAUAGUCAAUGUCAUUGCUCGUUAAAAUCCUACUCUCUCCCCAUAACCACAGCAGCUUCCACCACCUCCACCAAUCAUUAUGGCAUUCUCAGAGUUUAAGCCACUUGAUGAGAAAUCUUUGAUAGAGUACAUCAAGACCAACCCCGUUUUAUCCAACAAGAUUGGCAACAAUUACGAUGACUUGAAUAUCAAAGAAGUUGGAGACGGGAAUCUCAAUUUUGUGUACAUCGUCGUUGGCUUUGCCGGUUCUUUUGUCAUCAAACAGGCUCUUCCUUAUAUUCGAUGCAUAGGAGAGUCAUGGCCAAUGGCAAAAGAACGUGCUUACUUUGAAGCCACUGCACUAAAAGAGCAUGGUCGUCUCUCUCCUGAGCAUGUACCCGAAGUUUACCAUUUUGACAGGACUAUGUGUUUGAUUGGUAUGCGUUACCUUGAACCUCCUCAUAUUAUAUUGAGGAAGGGAUUGGUUGCUGGGGUUGAAUAUCCAUUGCUUGCACAACACAUUUCAGACUAUAUGGCAAAGACUCUUUUUUUCACCUCCUUGCUUUAUCUUAACACAACGGAUCACAAACGUGCAGUUGCUGAGUUUUGUGGAAACGUCGAGUUAUGUAGGCUCACUGAGCAAGUUGUCUUCUCGGACCCCUACAAAGUGUCAGAAUACAAUCGCUGUACAUCUCCUUAUCUUGAUGCCGAUGCAGAGGCAGUUCGCAAUGAUAAUGGUUUGAAGAUUGAAGUUGCUGAGCUUAAAUCCAAGUUUUGUGAGAGAGCCCAAGCUCUUAUACAUGGUGAUCUUCAUACUGGUUCUUUGAUGGUCACUCAAGAUUCAACCCAAGUAAUUGACCCAGAAUUUUCUUUCUAUGGGCCAAUGGGUUUUGAUAUUGGAGCAUAUAUUGGAAAUCUGAUUCUGGCGUACUUUUCCCAAGAUGGACAUGCAGAUCAGGCCAAUGACCGCAAGUCAUAUAAAGUUUGGAUUUUGAAGACAAUAACGGAGACUUGGAACCUCUUUCACCAAAAGUUUCUUGCACUCUGGGAUGAGCACAAGGAUGGUCCUGGUGAGGCAUAUCUUCCUGAAAUAUACAAUAAUACCGAGCUUCGACAACUGGUAAAGCAGAAAUACAUGAAAGAACUCUUCGAGGACACCCUUGGAUUUGGUGCUGCUAAAAUGAUAAGGAGAAUAGUUGGGGUGGCUCAUGUAGAAGAUUUUGAAUCAAUCAAGGAUGUUGCCAAACGAGCUGAUUGUGAACGACAAGCACUCAGCUGUGCAAAGAAGCUUCUGAAAGAAAGGCGAACAAUCAAGAGUAUUGAGGAAGUUAUUUCCACAAUUGAGCAAGUUCAGUUGCAGUAAUGUCCAAGUUAAAAUGGAUGAUCAUGUAACAUGUUGGCCUUAUGACCAAGCGUUGAUAUGUUUGCUUUUUGACUAAGCAUUCUGGAGUCUAUUUAGAUAUAUUGAAUGCCUAUUGAUAACAAAUAAUAUCCUUUUAGGUAUACAUUAUGCUUAAAAUGGUGAGUUUUCUUUGCUCAGUAGUCAUUUUAUUGGUGGAGGAACAUUAUCAUUUCCAG
rnacentral:misc_RNA from 1 species